rnacentral:rRNA from 1 species
UACGUAGGUGGCAAGCGUUGUCCGGAUUUACUGGGCGUAAAGCGUGUGUAGGCGGACCUUUUAAGUAAGAAGUGAAAGGUUGGAGCUCAACUCCAACAGGGCUUCUUAUACUGGAGGUCUUGAGUGCCGGAGAGGACGAUGGAACGGCUUGUGUAGCGGUGAAAUGCGUUGAUAUGAGCCGGAACACCAUGCGAAAGGCAAUCGUCUGGACGGAGGGAGAUUCCCUUAAAACUGACGCUGAGACACGAAAGCCAGGGGAGCGAAACGGG